rnacentral:rRNA from 1 species
AACGAACGCUGGCGGCAGGCUUAACACAUGCAAGUCGAGCGCCCCGCAAGGGGAGCGGCAGACGGGUGAGUAACGCGUGGGAACGUACCCUUUGCUACGGAAUAGCUCCGGGAAACUGGAAUUAAUACCGUAUGUGCCCUACGGGGGAAAGAUUUAUCGGCAAAGGAUCGGCCCGCGUUGGAUUAGCUAGUUGGUGGGGUAAUGGCCUACCAAGGCGACGAUCCAUAGCUGGUCUGAGAGGAUGAUCAGCCACAUUGGGACUGAGACACGGCCGAGGCUCGUACGGGGGGCGGCAGUGGGGAAUAUUGGACAAUGGGCGCAAGCGUGAGCCAGCCAGGCCGCGUGAGUGAUGAAGGCCUUAGGGUUGUAAAGCUCUUUCACCGGAGAAGAUAAUGACGGUAUCCGGAGAAGAAGCCCCGGCUAACUUCGUGCCAGCCGCCGCAGUAAAAC